ensembl:lncRNA LETR1 lymphatic endothelial transcriptional regulator lncRNA 1
GCUGGGCACGGAGCGGCGCGCGCGCGCCCGUCUUUCCCUCGGCGGCCCCCGCGGCUCGGACCCGGGCCGGCAGACAGGCCAUCCAUCAUCCGCCCUCCUCCCGCGGAGCGCCGCAGCCGCCGCGGCCAAUCCGGCGGCAGGUGGGGCCGCACCUGCGCGACAGCCCGCCGCUUCCCUCCGCUCCCUUCGCCGCGCCUCGCGUGCUAGCGGUGCCCUUGUGAGCCACUGCGUUCUCCAAGGCCAGAACGGGACAGUUGACGAUGGUCGUACUUCUCCAUGUUCUGAGACCAGUUUAAACAAAAACAAAAACCAGACAACAACCUUGCAAGGGAAAGAAUUCAGAGUAAAUAAACAGUCUUUUUCUGGGAAGUAAAAUAUUUCCCUAAGAUGGAGAAAUUGAGAUGAGAGCUCAUCCACAAGAUUACCCAUCAAUGAGCACCAAUAGCAACCAAAUCCACUAGAAGACUGGGAGCUUUUAAGUCAAGAAACUUACAUCAGUAUCAUCAUUCCAAGAAGCGGUAUCCAAGCUGUUUUAUCGAAAGUGCGCAUGGGAGGUUUGAACUCAGUGCUGUUGUGCAGUUGUAUGAACAAGGAAAUUAAAUGUGAAAAAUGGCCAAUCUGUCUAUCCUCUGGGUUCCCUCAACAACGCGGCCUCAUGAAGUACCUGCUGCCAUAUUGACCUCAGUACACACACAGAAGAGCCAAGGGAAUUGCUUCUUUGGGGACUGGAGAUAAGACUCUGAGAAUUUAUAGAAACAAACAUUAGAAGGCAGGAAUGUGGAGAGAAGAAAGCUACCUGACAAGGGAAUCUCAGGAUACAAGGAAAACACCAAGGAAUGUAAAUCUCUGUUUACCACAAGCCCUCUGUCUCCACAAGUUCUGUGUCCAGAACUGAAGGCAGAUCCAAAUACAAUAUUCAUGGGAUGCAAAUUCCCAUGUAUGCCAAGAGAUAACUGCUUUAUUGGAGGCCUAGUGGGGAACUGAAACUCCCACUCCUGCUUAGCAGGAAUGAGAAGCCCCCUUUCAGAGGUCAACAGAAGCUGAGUUAAGAAACCUGAACUUUUACCCUACCUGGCAGUAAUGAAGCGACACCCACCUUCGUCUGUGAGGAUGGUGUGAGAUGAAGGUAGCUAAAACAAAAGGUUUAAAUAAGAUUCAGAGUCUCAUCAUAUUGAAAUGUCCAUAUUUCAGUGGAAAAUUACUCAUCAUACAAAAACAAGAAAGAACUAAAACUAAGUGAGAAAAGAUAAUAAAUAUAUGCCAACAUCAAGAUGACACAAAUGUUAGAAUUAUCUGGCAAAGCUUGUAAAGCAGCCAUCAUAAAAAUACUCCAAUGAACAAUUAAAACAUUCUUGUAGCUAAUGAAAAUUUAUUUGGAAAGCUUCAACAAAGAAAUAGGAAGUCAUAACCAAAAAUAGAAGAUAAAAGAGUCAAAUGGAAAAUUUUGAACUGAAGAAUACAAUAACCAAUAUAAAAAACUCAAUGCAUGGGCAGAAUGGAGGAGACAGAGGAAAUAUUGGUGAACUGGAGGAAACAAUAUAAAUUGACCAUCUAUACAACAGAGAGAAGAUAGAGUGAAAAAAAGAUGAAAGGAACCUCAAAGACCUUCGAGAUUAUAGCAAAAAAAACCAAAAUAAAACAAAACCAAAAACCAACAAACAGACAGACAAAAAAUUAACCUUUGCAUUCCCUGAGUCCUAGAAGACCGGAAGAUGGCAGACCUGAAAAACAUUCUAAGAAAUAAUGGCUGAAAUGUGUUUAAAUUUAGCCAAAGACAUAAAUAUACAGAUUUAAGAAACUGAGUGAAUCCCAAAUAGGAUAAACUCACAGAAAUUCAUAGCAAGACACUCAUAGUCAAACUUUUGAGAACUGAAGACAAAAAAGAAAAACAAAAAGUCAAUCCAGAUGUCCUUCAAGGGGAAGAUGAUUAAACCAACCGUGAUACAUGCAUGCUAAUAGAAAAAAAACUACUGAUGCCUGGAACCACCUGGAUGAAUCUCUAAAGAAUUAUGGAGAGUGACAAAAAUAAUUUUAAAAUGUUACAUAGUAUAUUGUUUUAUUUAUAUAACAACAUGAUUGAAAUAACAAGAUCAUAGAAAUGGAGACUCAUUAGGGGUUAAGGAGGGGGAAGGAUAAGAAGGAAGAGGGAGUGGCCAUAAAAGGCAGCACGAAGUAUCCCUGUGCCGAUAGAAAUAUUUCUUAUCUUGACAGUAGCAAUGUCAAUAUCCUGUUUGUUACACUACAGUUUUGCAAGAUGUUAGCAUUGGAAGGAACUGGGUAAAAGAUCACUCUGCGUUCUCUCUUACAACUGCAAAUAAAUCCACAAUUAUCCUAAAAUAGAAAGUUUAAUUUACAAAAACAUUUCUGCAAGCCUUGUAACUCAGUGGCUACAUAACUCUGGACUUAGACCCAAAGAAUUUUGACUGUCACUUUAAUCUCAUGUAACCCUGGACAAGUAUUCAGCCAGUCUGAGCCUACUUUCUUGUCAGUUAAAUGGGCAUAAUGAUAGCUACCCUACUUAUUAAUAUUUCACCAACUG